CCUGCCUGUAAGACUGGGAUAACUCCGGGAAACCGGGGCUAAURCCGGAUAACCCUUCGGACCUCAUGGUCCGGAGCUGAAAGACGGUUAUGCUGUCACUUACAGAUGGGCCCSCGGCGCAUUAGCUAGUUGGUGAGGUAACGGCUCACCAAGGCRACGAUGCGUAGCCGACCUGAGAGGGUGAUCGGCCACACUGGGACUGAGACACGGCCCAGACUCCUACGGGAGGCAGCAGUAGGGAAUCUUCCGCAAUGGACGAAAGUCUGACGGAGCAACGCCGCGUGAGUGAAGAAGGUUUUCGGAUCGUAAAACUCUGUUGUUAGGGAAGAACAAGUACGAGAGUAACUGCUCGUACCUUGACGGUACCUAACCAGAAAGCCACGGCUAACUACGUGCCAGCAGCCGCGGUAAUACGUAGGUGGCAAGCGUUGUCCGGAAUUAUUGGGCGUAAAGCGCGCGCAGGCGGUCUUUUAAGUCUGAUGUGAAAGCCCCCGGCUCAACCGGGGAGGGUCAUUGGAAACUGGAGGACUUGAGUGCAGAAGAGGAGAGCGGAAUUCCACGUGUAGCGGUGAAAUGCGUAGAGAUGUGGAGGAACACCAGUGGCGAAGGCGGCUCUCUGGUCUGUAACUGACGCUGAG
rnacentral:rRNA from 1 species